AGACAAAAUGAGUUUUCUCUGCAAAACCCAGUUUUCCAGAACUACUAGAUGCUGAGACAUGCACUGGAGGGACACGAGAAGGGGAGAAGAGUCAGUGCCUGCAAGGUUGCCUGCUACGUCCCUUCUAAGAACUGUCCCUUACAGUGUCCCAUCAACCAGUUUCACAGACAAGCUGAAGUCCAUGAUCUUUGCUCGGCACUUGCCUUCCUCACUUCUUUCACGAUCUUAAACUGAAGCACUGCACGGUACUCGCAGCCAAGACUGACUUCAACUAUCACAUCCCUAAACUGUUGCUCCUUAUCUGGAGAAGCAAGGCCAGCAGACAGCUUUCCUUAGCCUACCCAUCUAGGACGGCCAUCAAUAUAUUGUCCCCUCCACACUCUAGAAAUCUCUUGGAUUGCCCUACUGUGUCACAUUUUCAGUACGCACCAAGGUGGUUAAAGUUGCCCUGAGAACCAGGGCCUGAGAUGUAAGUGUUCUUUUAAGAAGACUUAACAGGAUAUUAGGAAAAUUCAGUUUGGAAGAGACCUCAGGAAGUCUCAUGUCCAACUUCCUGGUCAAAGCAGAAUCAGCUCAAACCAUCCUGCUAAGCAUUCUAUCCAGCUGGCUCUUGAAAACCUCCAAAAAUGAAGACUGAUCAGCCUCUCUGGGUCCCUGUUUCACCUCUUGACUGCCCUCAUCAUGAAAAAAUUAUUCCUUAUUGCCAGUGAGAAUUUCAACUAACUCCCAUCAUCUCUCAUCUUCCCACCACACUUUGCUUAGAAGGGCCUGCCUCUGUUUUCUUGAUAAUCUCUUUGUAAGCAUUGGAAAGCUGUUAUGAGAUUCCCCUGAAGCCUUCUCUUCUCCAGGAGCUGCUUAUUUUUGAUCAGACAGUUUUACAACAGAUGCUACCACCAUGUCUUUUACUGAGCUCCCAAUCUGAUCCUCACCCAUAGCUCUUGACCAGCCUGUUGCCCAGACUCCAAUAGCACCCCUAAGAGCCUGUGACCACUCACCAGAAUAGUGCAAUUGUGUGAACUUCCCAUCGUGUCUCUGCAAAUUCAAUGGCAUCACUGCACCGUGUAAGAGCAGACCUCCAAUUCCUUCCAGCACACCUGCAGGUAAAGACACUUUUGCCCCACAGUAUUCAGUUGAUACCACUGGUCCCUAGCAAUCCCCAUUUCUUGAAAAGGAUCCUGUGGUCACACAGUCCUGUACGACCGUGCCAUUGGGUACAUAGAGAAGUGUGAGCACGGAGGAUGCAUCCACUCCUGCCCAGGAUGGAGAACAUUUCUGGGGCUCCAUCUCUUCACUCUGGGUCACUGAGCCCCCCAGUCAUCCUCAACCUGCUAAGUAUUACUAGUGCCUACAUGAAAGAGUAGCAAGGUCUGAUGCUUGGCCUUGGCAACCUCCAUGCUGUCCUGGAUCCAGCCAUUGGGUAAGCAGCAAGCCUCGGAAGUCAUUAAGUCUGAUUAGCAGAUGGAUGUUCCCAUUCCUUGUGCUAAAUCCCUGUUACCCAUUGCUUCCUACAAAGCAUUGGCACUGGUUACAAGUAGUUGACCAGGCACAGCUAGCCCAAACACUUCUCUUGCCAGAACUAACUCCUCUCCCAUUCUCAGAGCACUAAACAUUUUACUAAAUCUUAAAUUACCAUUAACCUCACAUACCUGUGUUACUGAGGAUGAUAUCAAGUACAACUGAUAGGGCUGUUAACUUGCAUGAAAGAAACUGCUUGAGACCUGAGGGGGAACGUUACAGUUCUCAUUAGUGAUGGCUAUGAUUAAGGCUUCUCCAAGUGGAAAAUGUAAAGUGUAAACAGAGAGAACAUAGCUGCUUAUGAACAGGGCAAAAAAAAAAAAAAAAAAAAGCAAUAAAAAUAUUCCUUAAACUGUAAAAAAAUAAUUAAGAAAAAAACUUACAGUCAUAUGCACAUUCAAACUAAAAUACAUACACAGAACGCUGUGGAGAACCAGGGAAGUUGAUUACUUGUCCAUAUCACGAUGUAUGCUGUUUAUUGAGUGUGUGUGCAGACCUUUAAUGCCAGAUCUCACUGCGGUCAGGAGCAAAGCCAAAGCCGUAAAUGUAACACCCGAUUUUCAGGGGAGAUGGGAAUAUGGAAAAGAGUUUGGGAAAUUCUCCUACAAAGAUGGAUCUGAAUCUCUCCAGAGAACUACAGUACUUUUUCUACAGCCUUCAGGCACUGGGAUGUGGCACAAGGGCAUUCCUUCAUCCAGGUCAAUUUAGUGCAGCCAAAACUGCUAAGCCCAUCCCUUUCCUCUAUGGGAGGAAACUCCCCCUUCUGUCACUGGACUAUACAAGAGAGGGGAGGGAAAGAGAAGAAAGAAAAAAAACACCCCCUUCUGUCCACCAUUUUAGGGAGAGAAAAGGAAUACCUCAGCUGCUCUCCUAUCUCACAUCCAAAUGGAAAAGGCAGAAACCAGCUUGUUUCCUCACUGCAUUAGAGGUGAGAGGAAGCAGAAUAGGAAGAGGGCAGGAAGCAGCCAACAAAGGUAAGAAGAGAUGUUAAACUUCCCCAUGUCCUAAUGCUGCUGCAUUUGAAUCAAAACUCUUAUAAACCUACAACCCAGCUGUGGAAAAGGACUUUGGUAAAGCUGGGGUGGAGGGAAGGAUGGCUUUCGCAGUAGAAGUACUUGUUUUGCUUUGUAUUUGCAUGCUUCAUCCAAGUGUUACACAACAUGGAGUUUUAGAGAGCUGUACAAAAACAUGCACUUCACACAAGUCCAGGGAAAAACCCCAACCCCACUAAAAUCUGUUUAAAACAUAAAACCUCACCUGAGUCUAAAAGGACCCUAAUGCAGACCGCUCAGUAGGUACCGCAACAACAACAAAGGAAAAGAAAUCAUACAUUAGAAAAUAUUCCUGGCUUAGAUGUGACAAAACAGCUUUCCCAAGAUGAUUCUGUGUAACUCGAUGCCCCAAAUUCACUAACGUUUGCCAGGAUAGCAACGGCUGCUGCAGAAUUCCACUGGCAAACACUGUAUCUCACAUUUUUCUCUUUCUCAAUAUGCUGUGACUUCCUGUGGAGAAAUAAUCUAUACUACAAAGAGGUGCAGGACUAACACUUUUGGAAGGAAAUAAUUUUACAGCAGCCUACAAUAUAUGUAGAAAUAUAAUACUUGGGUAGAGAAAUUCCUGAGCAGAGAGAGACUAGAAAAACACUUUGAUAAACAAACGCCUUCAAAGCUUAUGUUAUUUUCCUCAGAGCAAAAAAUAUUGGGUAACUGCGUGCUGUUCCUAGAAAGAAUGGAAUUUUGUUGCCAACAGCUGUAGCUUUUCAGAGGACUUAUAAUACUAUAUUGAAGAUUUAUGCUCCUGACAAAAGCUUAAAGCUAUCCAAACUAGGGCAGAAAAAAAACAAUCGCCUUUUAAAAGACCUGUGCUAUUUUUGUUAACUCUUCCUACAGCAGACGUUAGGACCUUCAAAAACAGACACCCACGACUGGGGUUGAUCUUUGUAAUGAUUCAUAAGUCAAGCAGUGACACUGCACCGGGUCAACUACUCAAUCUCAGGUUCUUAAACAAGCAAGAAGUACAUCCUAAUCGUCUUGAAAUCAAUCAAAGUCAUAAGUAUUUACCUCCAAAGUACAUGACUUUAAGUUUUCUUCCUGAUCCUUUUGGGCUUACAGUUACGUUUUUCCUACCUUAAGAAAGGUUUCCCCAAGGUGUGGCCAUCUCACAGAACCAUACAAGAUAGGAGAUAAGGUAUCCUAGACAAAAGACUGUCCUCUGCAUAAACAAGCAAAGGGAUGAGAUCUCAGAUCUCUGUGUUGGACUUACAUAGAUGUAAGUAGCCCUACCUGCCUGCGGUCGGUCUCCUGAUGCCAGCAGAAACUGUUCCUCGAACUCUGCAAGAUUAAGGUCUUCUGUGCUCUCUGUAACUACAGCAGCUAACAGUAUCUGGAACUUUAAAGCUAAACUGAUACUGAGCAAAGAAACUCAGGAUGUCACAGUUUUUCAGGCUCAUAUAUUUGCAAGCAGCCAAGCAGCACACUCUGGGUUGAAUCCUGGGCCAAUUUACAGUUACAAUCUAUGCUGCUCCGUGAACGUUACGCUGAGUUACACAAAUUGUGAUUGACAAAUCCGUUGCCUUGAAACAAUUUGCCCAAAGCUCACGAUGAGUCAGUGGAAGUGUCUUGUUUAUGUCUCAGACUCUGGCUUCCAUCUCGUAGCUGCUCAGUCCACCAGAUCAUAACUACGGAGCACCACCAAAGAAGUUUUUAUUUCUGUCCUUCUAAAAUAACACUUUAAUUUGUUUGUUGUUUUUGUUUUGUUUUGUUUUGCUUUUACAAAGGGAAGAAAAUAAAUUAAAAGCUUCUUAACAA